AUUUUUCAGCAUAGUCAUGACCAUUAGCUGUGCAGUAGGAAUGCCUGCCUAUGGAGCCCUGCUGCUCUGGAUCCCAACUGUAGUCUGAUUUCCUGGCUUGGCCUCGGACCUGCCUCAUCCUUAUGGAACUGGACCUGGUCCCGACCUGUGGAUUGACUUCCUGACUUCAUCGUGGAGUUGCCUCAUCCACAAGGUGCUGUGGUAAAGGCUGUGGUUGGUGGGAUGCCUGGCAGUCAUGGGACCUUCCUUAGCUCCUGGCCUGCCUCCCUGAGGGAGCAGCCCUUCUCUUGCUGCUCUCUGGCACAUCUCACCAAACCAGACACCUUACAAGGGCCAGCAAGGCAAAAGGGAUCCUAGGUGGCCUGAAGCUUUCCAAAGGUCUGUUUCGCCUUGUGUUAGCCCACUUGGGAGCUGAGCAUCUGCACUUGGAGUUGGUAUCUCGUGGCUGUGGGGCUGCAGGGACGUGCAGGCUGCAUGGCAGUCCCCGUGUCAGGACCAGCUGCUCCAUCCCUGGGGCCACGUACCCACUGAGGCAGAGUCCUACUGCUGUAUUGGCCACAGGAGAUUCACCAGGGAAGGGGAGCCAGUCCCAGGAAGGGUUCUUGUGUCCCAAGACCCAGGCCCAUGCCAAUGGGCUGGCAGGCUGUUAUUAAAGUAAAGGACU
rnacentral:lncRNA from 1 species